AACCUGGGAACUGCAUUCGAAACUGGCAGGCUUGAGUCUUGUAGAGGGGGGUAGAAUUCCAGGUGUAGCGGUGAAAUGCGUAGAGAUCUGGAGGAAUACCGGUGGCGAAGGCGGCCCCCUGGACAAAGACUGACGCUCAGGUGCGAAAGCGUGGGGAGCAAACAGGAUUAGAUACCCUGGUAGUCCACGCCGUAAACGAUGUCUACUUGGAGGUUGUGCCCUUGAGGCGUGGCUUCCGGAGCUAACGCGUUAAGUAGACCGCCUGGGGAGUACGGCCGCAAGGUUAAAACUCAAAUGAAUUGACGGGGGCCCGCACAAGCGGUGGAGCAUGUGGUUUAAUUCGAUGCAACGCGAAGAACCUUACCUGGUCUUGACAUCCACAGAAGUUUGC
rnacentral:rRNA from 1 species